GGAUGUAAGGACGAUCAGAGUGUGACAUCUUGUCACCCCUUGGAUCACCAAAGUUGAUUCAGCUGGCCUGGCUUGGUAGGCUGCCAUCUCCUUCCUCCCUCUGCUCCAUGCUCAUAGUUCCCCUCCCUCCUCAAAACUACCCUUUUCCAAACAGAGGAAGGAAGGGCAUACAAGUAGCUCUGCUCUCCUGCUAGAACUGCCAAACAUGUUCUCAAAUAAAGAAGAACAAAUGAAUAAUGUUCAUCCUCGUGAGCUGUCUGGGAAAUGCAAAGAAAACUGCAUGAGUGUCCCACCUCACCCAGUCAGCAUGGCUGUCAU
rnacentral:snRNA from 1 species